CAAGAGAUCAAGUUUCAGAUCUGCACAUGGAAACCAUGCAUCUGCUUAUAAUACAACAUUGGAGAAUAUAAUGUAUAAAAAGGUCUGCUGGCCAUAAAUCAUGUGAUGACAACCUGGGACUCAGGAAUGAGAUACAAUGAUCAAGUCUACACAGUUGGCCUUCGACAUGUGACGUUUCCAGUCUUCAAGAUGGCACGAUGUCUUCUACACACCAUACACUUUGCAUUUUCCUUUGCCUGGUACUGUUAUGACUGCUGGGAAGACCAUGUUUCUUCACAUUCUUUGUUUUGUUUCCAAAAUGUUUCAAUAUGCUACAGAAGGAAAAUCUGUAUCUCCAUAGACUAGGGAGUCUCUCUACUCUGUGAAUGAUAUCAGCUACUUCUCCAAUGAUGACCACUUAACAUUUAAAAAUGUUGACAGUACUGGCACUAAUUUGUAAGCCAGUGUCACACAGAGACCAUUAUGAUGGUGUCCUAGGAGCUAUUGUCUUCAGCUCCUGCAUUCUGGCUGCCUGGUCCUGGUUGUUUUUAAUGUAUUAUUGUGUGGUGAAGUUGGGAUGGAGUGCCAAAUUUUAUUUCCUGUCACCACCUGAGACCAGCUUCUCAAUUUCCAUUUGUUGUUUCUCCGACAAUUCAGGGUGCACAUUUCUGUGAAAGUGACUGAAAGUUGGUUUUGUAAUUUCUUUAGUUUCUUGAAAUCUUUUGAGCUCCUUCAGCUCCCUGUCCAGGAUGUAAUAUUUUUCAAGUAGCAUAAGGAUUUUGCAGCAGUUACCAUAGAUGUAGUCUUGCAGUUAAGAGUAUCUCCAAGAUUUUCCAAUAAUAGUAUUAUCUGUUUACUAUA